AUGCUGCCCCGAGCCUCACACAGUGGAGGUGCUGCAACACGGGUGAAGGCGCUGGUCUCACUGAACAAAGCUUCACCGUUGGAUUCAGGUUUGUCUGAAAAAAGCAAUUCAUGUUUUUUAUAUAUCCGUCUCCCACAAUUUUUUUUAAAGAUGGCUCUUUUACUAAUAACUCAUAAUUUAGUUUAAUAAAAGCUGUGAUCAUAACCAAAAAAAAAAAAGUAAACUAUCAGCAGAUCAUUUUAAAAAGUGUUUGUCUAUGUCAAAUCCUAACUUCUACAGAUCAUCACCAGUUUCCUUAAACAGCAGGUUGAGUGUCAGACUUGACAAAGUUGGAGAGCAGUAAAGACUCUCAGUGUAGACGUAACUGGGCAUCUCUGCAUUAAUGAGGCUGACAGCUGUUGGCCGCAUGAAUGUCACACACACAGGAACAAUCAAGCACCUGAUCCAGCAGGUUCCUCCGUUUUAGUGUCAGUCUGUCUCUCAGCUGUUCGAGCUCCCAUGAUGCAGUCAACUAAAGCGCUGGAGGAGGGGCCGGGCUCCAUGUUCCUCUGAGGGUUCUGUUGAGGAUACAGCCAUGUAGAACUCGUUCUCACAGGUCACUGCAUUCGUAGUGUCAUUUAAGAAUGAUGCUCUGCACUCGGUACUUGAGUGGUCUUGAUAAACGGACUUACAUACACGUCAACAUGCUCGCAUUGAUAGUCAGUUCUUCCAAAUAUACCUAAAUAAAAUCAGGAUAGUUGGAUUUUCUUUUCAAAUCCACCCAUUUCUUUACUCUUUGCUGUUCAUCGGGUAUUCACAGAGACAGCAGGUAAACCUCCCUCCCCAUCACGCAUCCAGGAGAAUUUAAUCUCUCAAGCCUGUUCUGGGUUCACUGUGGGACGUCCUCCCUGACAUCCAGGUAUUUUCAUACGAUGUUCAAACAACCUCCUAAAUGAGGUCCGGGGGAAAUCCCUGUCUAAUAGGGCUGCAUGGUAUGAUGGAAAACUUGCAACAGUUUAGUUUAAAUAAGAGUCAAAAUAUAUUAAAACAACAUAUAUUCAAUUAAAUGAUCGUCUACACAGGAAGCCAACAUCUAACAUAAAAGCUCCAUCCGAUUGGUCAAAUGCAUAAAUGGAUUUAUUCGAUUUGUUAAAUAAUUAAAGCUGCCAUAAGAUUAUUUUAGCACAUUUAAGGUUUACCAUUUAUUGCGAUUUUCCCCGACUUUUGCGAUAAGGAUAUUUCACAACUUGAUGUCGCAAUAACAAUAAAUUUGCAGUUUAUUGUGCAGGCCUACCGUCUAAACUCAUUUAUGUAACCUUACCUGGUCAUUGAGGGCAGCAUGCAGCUCAUCGGUCACACCUCUCAGCGUGUGGUGCAACAACGUGAUCUGGGUGACGGCCUGAGCCAUUUUCUCUUCCAGUUCCUGCCGGUUUGAAUUGGCUGCAGAUUCUGUGACCACCAUUUGCUCACGCAAUUGUUGGUUUUCAGUCCUGCAACAAACAAACGCGCCACCAUUGACCGAAAAAGCAAUUCCAGACCAAAGAAUGUUAGAAGUGCACGCAAAAUAACUCCUGGAUUCAGAUUCUUUGCAAUGUUUGUGUUUCUGCAGAAAGCUAAAACCAAUAUAUCUAUAGACAUAAAAACAAAGAACUACAGUUGGUAAAUCAUCUAAAAGAUAACAACAUUUCAGAGACUUGCUUGCAAAUUUCCAUUAAGACUCAAAUCUGUUGUAAAAACUGUCAAAUGUUAUUUUAAGUGCUAGCUAGUGGAAUGAGGACGCCUAAUGAUGACAAUUAGCAAUGUAUAAAUGAAGUCAACAUAAGUUAAGUGAAUGUUAGCUGGAACUUACUGAAGUUUUCCAACUUCCCCCUUCAGGUCCUCACACUGGAUGUUUCUCUCCCGCAGACUUUGCAUAUUGGUCCUGAGCAGACGCUCGCUCUCAACCACCUGCUCCCGCGCCAGCUCGUUCUCCAUUUGCAGAAACUGACAUGUAGGAUGGAGGAGAGACCCAUUUUCAACACAAAAGAACAACAUUCAAUCAGGAAAAACACAUUCAGACUGGAUUAAAGACCAACUCCAAUGAAAAUGGUGUUUUUAACAUGUUCUUGGAGGACAUAAAUAUAUAAAAAAGAAAGAUUAAAACUGCAUUUCUGAGUACUUUUUUCAUUCAAACUGUCAAUCAGGAGCAGACGCAAAAAUUCUGUUUGCAAAGGAGCGUAUUUGUGAUAGAAAAUAAGCUGGGCGGGCUACAAGCUCCCUUCAGCAAAGAGGAGGGGAGAGGAAGAGGAAGAGGAAGAGGAAGAGGGGUUGCUCUGCACUUACAGUCCAGCCAACAACUCAGAGGGGAAUUUCUAAUGAACUCCUGCCAUUCUGCAGGAACCAUUAUCAUAAAAACAACACAGGUUUUGUUUUUUAUUUUUGGCUAAAAAUGGUAUCAUCCUAAUUAAAAGAACACUGAGAAAGUGUUUAAAAUGACUUAGAUUUUGUUCAGAUCUGCAGGGAAAUUAACACACAAGCAGAUGGAAAUCGUUAAACUGAAAGAAUCUGUUUUCAUUGUUAAUCUGCAAUGAGAAGCAGAGAAUUCCUGGAACUAAUAUGAGCAAAAGCCAUUUAUAAAAUAGGGUCAGGCAAUUGAGAGUAAUACAAAAAAAUAAAUGAAUUAAUUCAAGAGAGGUCAGAACACGGAUGAGCUAACCUCAUUCAUCUCCCUCACACUGCUGAGUUGUGCACAAGCAUCCUGCAGCUGCUGGAUCUGACAACUCUGAGACUGCGAGAGGCUCUGCAGCUGACCGAGCUGCUCCUCGCUGUGAGCCAGAGCCUGACUCAGCUGGCGGACGCGCCGCUCUGAAUCGCCCAGAGAUGCCUCCAACCUGGUGGUAAGCAAACACAAAGGACAAGCGGCAUUGAAGGGGGCUGUUUCUCUAAAUCUAAAACUAAAGAGAAAGGAGAAAGCUGGAAAUAAAUGAACCGAACAUGAUUCCCACUCACUGAGAGGCUCUAUCAUUCGCUUGCUGGAUGUCUUUCCAUGACAGCUGCAACCUAAAACAAAAAAAGAACAAAUCGUGUUUUCAAUGAACAAAAAGGAAGCGCAUUUCCUUUAAACUCUCAAAUAUGCCGGUUCUUUACAGAGAUGCAAACAUACUUAGCGGUCUCAGCAGCCAGAGACUGCUCCAAGAAAGCAUAGGAGGCCAGUGUGGAGGAAAUGGUGGCAGACAACUCUGUCACCUUCCUGUCAAGCUGAGCCUUUUCCUCCUCCUCCUCUGUUAGCUUCUGUCUUAAAACCUCCAUUUCUGAAACAUUAUCGUUUGUAAAUCAUUAAUAAUUCAGCAGAUUCAGAUUCAUCAAGCUAAAAAUAAAAUAAAAACCUGAUUUCAGUCUCUACCUGAUGUGAGGAUGGUCUUCUGAAGGCUCAAAUCCCCAAUCUGUUGUCCGGCAGCCUGGAGAUUCACACGCGCUUCCUCCAGUUCCUCCGCCAUCUGUAAGCGUGUUUAAGCGAAAAACAUUUUAGGGCAAAAAAAAACAUGUUUUUAAUAAAAAAA
rnacentral:lncRNA from 1 species